CCUGAAACCGUGUACGUACAAGCAGUGGGAGCACGCUUAGGCGUGUGACUGCGUACCUUUUGUAUAAUGGGUCAGCGACUUAUAUUCUGUAGCAAGGUUAACCGAAUAGGGGAGCCGAAGGGAAACCGAGUCUUAACUGGGCGUUAAGUUGCAGGGUAUAGACCCGAAACCCGGUGAUCUAGCCAUGGGCAGGUUGAAGGUUGGGUAACACUAACUGGAGGACCGAACCGACUAAUGUUGAAAAAUUAGCGGAUGACUUGUGGCUGGGGGUGAAAGGCCAAUCAAACCGGGAGAUAGCUGGUUCUCCCCGAAAGCUAUUUAGGUAGCGCCUCGUGAAUUCAUCUCCGGGGGUAGAGCACUGUUUCGGCAAGGGGGUCAUCCCGACUUACCAACCCGAUGCAAACUGCGAAUACCGGAGAAUGUUAUUACGGGAGACACACGGCGGGUGCUAACGUCCGUCGUGAAGAGGGAAACAACCCAGACCGCCAGCUAAGGUCCCAAAGUCAUGGUUAAGUGGGAAACGAUGUGGGAAGGCCCAGACAGCCAGGAUGUUGGCUUAGAAGCAGCCAUCAUUUAAAGAAAGCGUAAUAGCUCACUGGUCGAGUCGGCCUGCGCGGAAGAUGUAACGGGGCUAAACCAUGCACCGAAGCUGCGGCAGCGACGCUUAUGCGUUGUUGGGUAGGGGAGCGUUCUGUAAGCCUGUGAAGGUGUGCUGUGAGGUAUGCUGGAGGUAUCAGAAGUGCGAAUGCUGACAUAAGUAACGAUAAAGCGGGUGAAAAGCCCGCUCGCCGGAAGACCAAGGGUUCCUGUCCAACGUUAAUCGGGGCAGGGUGAGUCGACCCCUAAGGCGAGGCCGAAAGGCGUAGUCGAUGGGAAACAGGUUAAUAUUCCUGUACUUGGUGUUACUGCGAAGGGGGGACGGAGAAGGCUAUGUUGGCCGGGCGACGGUUGUCCCGGUUUAAGCGUGUAGGCUGGUUUUCCAGGCAAAUCCGGAAAAUCAAGGCCGAGGCGUGAUGACGAGGCACUACGGUGCUGAAGCAACAAAUGCCCUGCUUCCAGGAAAAGCCUCUAAGCAUCAGGUAACAUCAAAUCGUACCCCAAACCGACACAGGUGGUCAGGUAGAGAAUACCAAGGCGCUUGAGAGAACUCGGGUGAAGGAACUAGGCAAAAUGGUGCCGUAACUUCGGGAGAAGGCACGCUGAUACGUAGGUGAAGCGACUUGCUCGUGGAGCUGAAAUCAGUCGAAGAUACCAGCUGGCUGCAACUGUUUAUUAAAAACACAGCACUGUGCAAACACGAAAGUGGACGUAUACGGUGUGACGCCUGCCCGGUGCCGGAAGGUUAAUUGAUGGGGUUAGCGCAAGCGAAGCUCUUGAUCGAAGCCCCGGUAAACGGCGGCCGUAACUAUAACGGUCCUAAGGUAGCGAAAUUCCUUGUCGGGUAAGUUCCGACCUGCACGAAUGGCGUAAUGAUGGCCAGGCUGUCUCCACCCGAGACUCAGUGAAAUUGAACUCGCUGUGAAGAUGCAGUGUACCCGCGGCAAGACGGAAAGACCCCGUGAACCUUUACUAUAGCUUGACACUGAACAUUGAGCCUUGAUGUGUAGGAUAGGUGGGAGGCUUUGAAGUGUGGACGCCAGUCUGCAUGGAGCCGACCUUGAAAUACCACCCUUUAAUGUUUGAUGUUCUAACGUGGACCCGUGAUCCGGGUUGCGGACAGUGUCUGGUGGGUAGUUUGACUGGGGCGGUCUCCUCCUAAAGAGUAACGGAGGAGCACGAAGGUUGGCUAAUCCUGGUCGGACAUCAGGAGGUUAGUGCAAUGGCAUAAGCCAGCUUGACUGCGAGCGUGACGGCGCGAGCAGGUGCGAAAGCAGGUCAUAGUGAUCCGGUGGUUCUGAAUGGAAGGGCCAUCGCUCAACGGAUAAAAGGUACUCCGGGGAUAACAGGCUGAUACCGCCCAAGAGUUCAUAUCGACGGCGGUGUUUGGCACCUCGAUGUCGGCUCAUCACAUCCUGGGGCUGAAGUAGGUCCCAAGGGUAUGGCUGUUCGCCAUUUAAAGUGGUACGCGAGCUGGGUUUAGAACGUCGUGAGACAGUUCGGUCCCUAUCUGCCGUGGGCGCUGGAGAACUGAGGGGGGCUGCUCCUAGUACGAGAGGACCGGAGUGGACGCAUCACUGGUGUUCGGGUUGUCAUGCCAAUGGCACUGCCCGGUAGCUAAAUGCGGAAGAGAUAAGUGCUGAAAGCAUCUAAGCACGAAACUUGCCCCGAGAUGAGUUCUCCCUGACCCUUUAAGGGUCCUGAAGGAACGUUGAAGACGACGACGUUGAUAGGCCGGGUGUGUAAGCGCAGCGAUGCGUUGAGCUAACCGGUACUAAUGAACCGUGAGGCUUAACCUUACAACGCCGAAG
rnacentral:rRNA from 1 species